rnacentral:rRNA from 1 species
ACACAGGUGGUCAGGUAGAGAAUACCAAGGCGCUUGAGAGAACUCGGGUGAAGGAACUAGGCAAAAUGGUGCCGUAACUUCGGGAGAAGGCACGCUGAUACGUAGGUGAAGCGACUUGCUCGUGGAGCUGAAAUCAGUCGAAGAUACCAGCUGGCUGCAACUGUUUAUUAAAAACACAGCACUGUGCAAACACGAAAGUGGACGUAUACGGU